rnacentral:rRNA from 1 species
UGCGGAGGAUCAUUAUUGAAAUUAUAGGUGAGGGUUGUAGCUGGCCUCUCGGGGCAUGUGCACGCCCGAGCCCUUAAUCCACACACACCUGUGAACCUAUUGUAAGGGCCCUUAAAAAAGGCCUUUACGUCUUAUCAUCAACCCAUCGUAUGUCUCAUAGAAUGUAAAUAUAUGUCCUCGCCUUAAAAAGCGUUGAUAAACUUAUACAACUUUCAACAACGGAUCUCUUGGCUCUCGCAUCGAUGAAGAACGCAGCGAAAUGCGAUAAGUAAUGUGAAUUGCAGAUUUUCAGUGAAUCAUCGAAUCUUUGAACGCACCUUGCGCUCCUUGGUAUUCCGAGGAGCAUGCCUGUUUGAGUGUCAUUAAAUUCUCAACUCUGAUCGAUUUGUUUCGACUUCGGAGCUUGGAUUUGGAGCGUGCUGGCGUCGGUCGGCUCCUCUUAAAUGCAUCAGCGGAAUCUAACGUUUCGGACGUCAGUGUGAUAAUCAUGUUGCGCUGUCUGUCUGAUCCGAAAGCCCGCUCAC